rnacentral:rRNA from 1 species
GUGCGCAGGCGGUCUGUUAAGUCAGCGGUCAAAGCCCGGGGCUCAACCCCGGCCCGCCGUUGAAACUGGCAGUCUCGAGUUGGAGAGAAGUAUGCGGAAUGCGCGGUGUAGCGGUGAAAUGCAUAGAUAUCGCGCAGAACUCCGAUUGCGAAGGCAGCAUGCCGGCUCCACACUGACGCUGAGGCACGAAAGCGUGGGUAUCGAACAGGAUUAGAUACCCUGGUAGUCCACGCAGUAAACGAUGAAUGCUGGCUGUCCGGGGGGAUUGACCCCUGGGUGGCGAAGCGAAAGCGAUAAGCAUUCCACCUGGGGAGUACGCCGGCAACGGUGAAACUCAAAGGAAUUGACGGGGGCCCGCACAAGCGGAGGAACAUGUGGUUUAAUUCGAUGAUACGCGAGGAACCUUACCCGGGCUCAAACGGGGAGUGACUCAGGCAGAGACGCCUGUUUCCCACGGGACACUCCCCGAGGUGCUGCAUGGUUGUCGUCAGCUCGUGCCGUGAGGUGUCGGCUUAAGUGCCAUAACGAGCGCAACCCACAUCGGUAGUUGCUAACAGUUUUCGCUGAGGACUCUACCGAGACUGCCGUCGUAAGGCGCGAGGAAGGUGUGGAUGACGUCAAAUCAGCACGGCCCUUACAUCCGGGGCGACACACGUGUUACAAUGGGAGGGACAAAGGGCAGCUACCGGGCGACCGGAUGCGAAUCUCUAAACCCUUCCCCAGUUCGGAUCGGAGUCUGCAACUCGACUCCGUGAAGCUGGAUUCGCUAGUAAUCGCGCAUCA